rnacentral:rRNA from 1 species
CUCACCAGGUCAGGACACGGUAAGGAUUGACGGACUGAAGGCUCUUUCUCGAUUCCGUGGAAAGUGGUGCAUGGCCGUUUUGGUUGGUGGAUCGAUCCGUCUGGUUAAUUCCGUUAACGAACGAGACCUCGGCACUCCGAAUAGCGCGGCGGACGUCGCGGCCUCCGGGCCGUCUUCCGCACGAGCUUCUUAGAGGGACCGUCCCCGCCGGGGAAGGAGGUGCGAGGCAACGACAGGUCUGUGAUGCCCUUAGAUGUUCUGGGCCGCACGCGCAUUACACUGACGCGUCCAACGGGUGACUCCCGACCCGAAGGGGCCGGGGAAUCCGCAAGGCGCGUCGUGAUGGGGAUUGAACGUUGCAAUUGUUGUUCACGAACGAGGAAUUCCUAGUAGGCGCGGGUCAUCAACCCGCGCCGAUUACGUCCCUGCC